rnacentral:rRNA from 1 species
GACAUACGUUGGAAGCGCAUCGAAAGGUGCGUGCCGCUUGCGGCCGGCGCACAGGUGCUGCAUGGCUGUCGUCAGCUCGUGCUGUGAAGUGUUGGGUUAAGUCCCGCAACGAGCGCAACCCUGCUGCCUGUUGCCACCACGAGAGGUGGGGACUCAGGCGGGACCGCCGGUGACAAACCGGAGGAAGGUGGGGGACGACGUCAAGUCAUCAUGGCCCUUAUGUCCUGGGCUACACACGUGCUACAAUGGCCGGUACAGAGCGCAGCGAGGCCGCGAGGCGGAGCGAAUCGCUUAAAGCCGGUCCCAGUACGGAUUGGAGUCUGCAACCCGACUCCAUGAAGUUGGAAUCGCUAGUAAUCGCGCAUCAGCAUGGCGCGGUGAAUACGUUCCCGGGCCUU